rnacentral:misc_RNA from 1 species
GAUGAAGAACGUAGCGAAAUGCGAUAAUUAAUGUGAAUUGCAGAAUUCCGUGAAUCAUCGAGUUUUUGAACGCAUAUUGCGCCCCUUGGUAUUCCGAGGGGCAUGCCUGUCCGAGCGUCAUUGCAACCAUUCAAGCACGGCCUGUGUGUUGGACGGCCGCCCCAGUGUGGGCGGGUCCCAAAUGCAGUGGCGGCGCCGCGAUCCGGGUGCUCGAGUGCAUGGAAACCACGCGCUCGUUAGGCCCCGUCGGGCGCCGGCCGACCUAAUUAUCUUCGUUCUGGUUGACCUCGGAUCAGGUAGGAAUACCCGCUGAACUUAAGCAUAUCAAUAAGCGGAGGA